rnacentral:rRNA from 1 species
ACUGCUCAGUAACACGUGGCUAAUCUGCCCUUAGGACGAGAACAACCCCGGGAAACUGGGGCUAAUUCUCGAUAGGCGAAGAACUCUGGAAUGAGUCUUCACCCAAUAGAGCCUGCGUUAUCCUCGUAGGUUUCGCCUAAGGAUGAGGCCGCGACCGAUCAGGUUGUUGGUGAGGUAAUGGCUCACCAAGCCUUUUACCGGUGCGGGCCGUGGGAGCGGGAGCCCGGAGAUGGGCACUGAGACAAGGGCCCAGGCCCUACGGGGCGCAGCAGUCGCGAAAACUUUGCAAUAAGCGAAAGCUUGACAGGGCUAUCCCGAGUGCCAUCCGCUGAGGAAGGCUUUUACCCAGUCUAGAACGCUGGGGGAAUAAGGAGAGGGCAAGUCUGGUGUCAGCCGCCGCGGUAACACCAGCUCUCCGAGUGGUGUGGAUGUUUAUUGGGCCUAAAGCAUCCGUAGCUGGCUAAGUUAGUCCCUUGUUAAAUCCACCGAAUUAAUCGUUGGAUUGCGGGGGAUACUGCUUGGCUAGGGGACGAGAGAGGCAGACGGUAUUUUCGGGGUAGGGGUGAAAUCCUAUAAUCCCGGGAAGACCACCAGUGGCGAAGGCUGUCUGCUAGAACGCGCCCGACGGUGAGGGAUGAAAGCUGGGGGAGCGAACCGGAUUAGAUACCCGGGUAGUCCCAGCUGUAAACGAUGCAGGCUAGGUGUUUGGACGGCCACGUGCCGUUCUAGUGCCGCAGGGAAGCUGUUAAGCCUGCCGCCUGGGGAGUACGAUCGCAAGAUUGAAACUUAAAGGAAUUGGCGGGGGAGCAC